AGUGAACGCUGGCGGUAGGCCUAAAACAUGCAAGUCGAACGGCAGCACAGGAGAGCUUGCUCUCUGGGUGGCGAGUGGCGGACGGGUGCGGAAUACAUCGGAAUCUACUUUUUCGUGGGGGAUAACGUAGGGAAACUUACGCUAAUACCGCAUACGACCUACGGGUGAAAGCAGGGGACCUUCGGGCCUUGCGCGAUUGAAUGAGCCGAUGUCGGAUUAGCUAGUUGGCGGGGUAAAGGCCCACCAAGGGGACGAUCCGUAGCUGGGCUGAGAGGAUGAUCAGCCACACUGGAACUGAGACACGGUCCAGACUCCUACGGGAGGCAGCAGUGGGGAAUAUUGGACAAUGGGCGCAAGCCUGAUCCAGCCAUACCGCGUGGGUGAAGAAGGCCUUCGGGUUGUAAAGCCCUUUUGUUGGGAAAGAAAUCCAGCUGGCUAAUACCCGGUUGAGAUGACGGUACCCAAAGAAUAAGCACCGGCUAACUUCGUGCCAGCCGCCGCGGUAA
rnacentral:rRNA from 1 species